rnacentral:rRNA from 1 species
AUUGAACGCUGGCGGCAUGCUUUACACAUGCAAGUCGAACGGUAACAGGCCUUCGGGUGCUGACGAGUGGCGCACGGGUGAGUAAUGCAUCGGAACGUACCCAGAGGUGGGGGAUAACGCAGCGAAAGCUGUGCUAAUACCGCAUGUGAUCUGAGGAUGAAAGCGGGGGACCGAGCAGCAAUGUUUGGCCUCGCGCCUUUGGAGCGGCCGAUGUCGGAUUAGCUAGUUGGUGGGGUAAAGGCCUACCAAGGCGACGAUCCGUAGCUGGUCUGAGAGGACGACCAGCCACACUGGGACUGAGGCACGGCCCAGACUCCUACGGGAGGCAGCAGUGGGGAAUUUUGGACAAUGGGCGCAAGCCUGAUCCAGCAAUGCCGCGUGCGGGAAGAAGGCCUUCGGGUUGUAAACCGCUUUUGGCAGGAACGAAACGGUGUCCGCUAAUACCGGGCGCUAAUGACGGUACCUGCAGAAUAAGCACCGGCUAACUACGUG